UACAGAGGUCUCAAGCGUUGUUCGGAUUCAUUGGGCGUAAAGGGUGCGUAGGCGGCGCGGUAAGUCGGGUGUGAAAUCUCGGGGCUUAACUCCGAAACUGCAUUCGAUACUGCCGUGCUUGAGGACUGGAGAGGAGACUGGAAUUUACGGUGUAGCGGUGGAAUGCGCAGAUAUCAGGAGGAACACCGAUGGCGAAGGCAGGUCUCUGGGCCAUAACUGACGCUGAGAAGCGAAAGCAUGGGGAGCGAACAGG
rnacentral:rRNA from 1 species